CAGGGGGUAGUUUACUAAAGAUAUUAAAUUUGGGGUUUAAUGAUGGAAAGAUUUUCCUUCCCUGA
rnacentral:tRNA from 1 species